GAUGAAGAACGCAGCGAAACGCGAUAUGUAAUGUGGAUUGCAGAAUUCAGUGAAUCAUCGAAUCUUUGAACGCACAUGGCGCCUUCCAGUAUCCUGGGAGGCAUGCCUGUCCGAGCGUCGUUUCAACCCUCGAGCCCUCGUGGCCCGGCGUUGGGGAUCUGCCACGGCAGGCCCCGAAAUACAGUGGCGGACCCGUUAGGCCCUUCCUUUGCGUAGUAGCAUCAGCCUCGCAUCGGGAGCCGGCGGGCUCUCCUGCCUCUAAACCCCCCAACAAGCCCGCUCCGGCGGCACCAAGGUUGACCUCGGAUCAGGUAGGAAUACCCGCUGAACUUAAGCAUAUCAAUAAGCGGAGGA
rnacentral:misc_RNA from 1 species